GAGACAAAAACAUUAUUAGCUGUGGUGGCAUGGGGGGCUAGACAGCCUCUGGCGAUUGAGGAAGUGGAAGUGAGCCCGCCUCAACCUCAGGAGAUCCGAAUCAAGGUCAUCGCCACUUCCCUCUGUGGCAGCGACGUCGCCGCUUGGGCAUCCCAGACUAUAUUUCCUCGCAUAUUUGGCCAUGAAGCUGCCGGGAUUGUCGAGUGUGUAGGGGAAGGAGUGACCGAAUUCAAGGAGGGAGACCACGUGUUGACGAUGUUCACAGGCGAAUGCAAGACAUGCCGGCACUGCACAUCGAAUAAGAGCAACAGUUGCCGGGUACUUGGGUUGGAAAGGGGCAGCGUAAUGCACAGCGACUGAAAGACACGCUUCUCCGUUAGAGGGGAUCCUGUAUAUCAUUACUUGGGCAUUUCGAGUUUCAGCGAGUAUACGGUGGUGCACUUGGGAUGCGCCACCAAAGUCAGCCCAACAGCACCUCCAGAGAAAAUAUGUCUCCUCAGUUGUGGAGUAGCAACAGGUCUAGGUGCGGCUUGGAAUGCGGCCGACCUAUCCGAAGGAUCGAACGUGGCAAUAUUUGGUCUUGGAACUGUGGAUCUUUCUGUUACACAAGGUGCCAAACUUCGGGGAGCCUCUCAUGUAAUCGGCGACGACAUUAAUCCUGAGAAGGGCGAGAAAGCAAAAGAUUUUGGAGUUAAUGUAUGUCUCAAUCCUAAGGACUAUGAUGAACCCAUCCAUGAGGUCAUCAAGAGGAUGACUGAUGAGGUUGCUGAUUACUGUUUCGAGUGCACCGGCGAUACAAGAGCAACUACGACUGCGUUGCAGUCAUGCUGUGAAGGAUGGGGUUCGACCGUGACCCUUGGCGUGCCGAAAGUGAAGCC